GACGAACGCUGGCGGCGUGCUAAACACAUGCAAGUCGAACGGAAAGGCCUCUUUCGGGGGGUACUCGAGUGGCGAACGGGUGAGUAACACGUGAGUAACCUGCCCUUGACUUUGGGAUAACUUCAGGAAACUGGGGCUAAUACCGGAUAGGAGCUCCUGCUGCAUGGUGGGGGUUGGAAAGUUUCGGCGGUUGGGGAUGGACUCGCGGCUUAUCAGCUUGUUGGUGGGGUAGUGGCUUACCAAGGCUUUGACGGGUAGCCGGCCUGAGAGGGUGACCGGCCACAUUGGGACUGAGAUACGGCCCAGACUCCUACGGGAGGCAGCAGUGGGGAAUAUUGCACAAUGGGUGGAAGCCUGAUGCAGCAACGCCGUGUGCGGGAUGACGGCCUUCGGGUUGUAAACCGCUUUCGCUCAUGACGAAGCUUUGUGUGACGGUAGUGGGUAAAGAAGCACCGGCUAACUACGUG
rnacentral:rRNA from 1 species